AAAAAAAGAGAGAGAGAGAGAGAGAGAGAGUCUAUGGAGUAAACUGUGCUAGAAGGUUGGAAGAAACAAAAGCUGCCUUGAGGACGUGAGAUGUACCAAAAAUUGCGAUCAGAUUUUGCAAGAGAGAGGCUUUAGCACACAGAAUGAAAGAAGAGGUCUUCAUGCGCUGGCAGAGAGGGAUGCAGAUUACACCUCUGAUCUCAAGGAUACUGUUUCACCUUUAUACACCUAGGUACCCUAAAACAUUCCGAAGAACACUGUUCCUUGAGAAGUGAGCAGAGAAAGAACAGCCUGAAAACAAAAAUCAAAUCAAAACAAAACAAAACAAAACAAAACAAAAAAAAACACCACAUGCUAACAGCAUUUCAGUGCAGACUUAAUUCUGUCAAUUGCAAAAGAGUAAAAUAUUUCCCCAGCUUCAUAUCCCCAUGUCCUGUUUCAGGAGUAUUUGGUUUGUGAUCACUUACAACAUGAAGGCCUCUCUGCUUUUCCUUGACUUCAAAAUUG
rnacentral:lncRNA from 1 species